rnacentral:rRNA from 1 species
CCUACGGGAGGCAGCAGUGGGGAAUAUUGGACAAUGGGGGGAACCCUGAUCCAGCGACGCCGCGUGCGUGAAGAAGUAUUUCGGUAUGUAAAGCUCUAUCCGCAGGGACGAAAGAAAUGACGGUACCUGACUAAGAAGCCCCGGCUAACUACGUGCCAGCAGCCGCGGUAAUACGUAGGGGGCAAGCGUUAUCCGGAUGUACUGGGUGUAAAGGGAGCGUAGACGGCGAUGCAAGUCUGACGUGAAAGGCGGGGGCCCAACCCCCGGACUGCUUUGGAAACUGUAUGGCUGGAGUGCAGGGGAGGUAAGUGGAAUUCCUAGUGUAGCGGUGAAAUGCGUAGAUAUUAGGAGGAACACCAGUGGCGAAGGCGGCUUACUGGACUGUAACUGACGUUGAGGCUCGAAAGCGUGGGGAGCAAACAGGAUUAGAUACCCUUGUAGUC